UUCUUCCCCGAUCUUUUUUCUUUGAUCCGCCUAAGUUGAGAGAGACAGAGCUUCGAACAGGAACCCUCCGCCAAAACCUUCGACUUCUUCCUUCUUCCUUCACUGUUCUGACGGUCAUCGGCCAGAGUUGGCCGAGUUGCAGCUUUGCUAUGGUGUCUUCUUCAGCACCGUGAUUUCUUGUUUUUCCCCUGCUCCGUGAUCAUGUGAAUAUGCCGCUGCAGAUUGUGGGUUGCGAGUUCUUGGUUCCCUGUGUUGCCUUCGGUCAUUCACUGGUUCUACUUUGCGUCGUCGGAGCUCCUUCUCUCUCCAUAUCUGUUCUGCAACUUCCUCUUCUUUGUGCUUCUGCCUUCGUGAUCUGAGGAGGAAAGAAUGUUUUGUAUAAGAGUUGAUGUGAUUCGAAUACAGUGGCUUUUCAAGUCCACAAACCAAUUCAAAUCCUCUUGGCAUAAUUGUUUAUCGUAUUCCUUGUAAUUUGUUUAUUGUGUUGCACAAGGUCCAUAAGCCGAUUCAAGUCCUUGCAAUUUGUUUAAUGUAUAUGAUCAGACCACUUGUUUAAAUAAAAACUUUAUUUUGCCUCUGUU